rnacentral:lncRNA from 1 species
AUGCCCCCCCCCGCCCGCCCCCUCCGCAGCGCCGCCCUCCUCCUCUCCAUCGCCCUCCUGGCCCAGAGCCGCCCGCAGCCCCCCCCCCAAAAACCUCCAUCAUCCGCGAGGGGGGGGGAACCUUGGGAGGACCUGGAGCCCCCCGGCUUGGGGGACAACGUGAAGGACGUGGGCACGAAGCGAAGCCGCGGCGGAUCCCCGACGGAAACGUGGAAAGAAUUGGAAGAAUUGGGCAAACUUCGCGCUGAGGCCAAAAAAAGGGAAAGGGAACGGGAAAGGGAACGGGGCCGGGGCUGGGCGAGUGCACGGCAGCUGCGGCAGCAGCAAAGCCUGGAGCUGAAGCUGCUGGAACGGCGCUACCAGGAGCUGAUGGAGAGCCGGCGGCAGGCGCAGGCUGCGAGAAAAGCGGCCGCCGAGGAGGAGAGGCUGGCGGAUAUGGCCUCGGAUCUCCUCCUGCGGUACCUCCUGCACGGCCCCGGAGCCGAGGGGAAGCGGUCAGAGGAGGAGGAAGAGGAGGAGGAGGAAGGGGGGGAGAGGGAGAGGAAGGGGGCGUGGGUGGGUAGGGGGUACACGGCAGAGAGGGGCUUCCCUGAGGAGAAGGGGUUUGCGAUGGGGAAGGCAUCAAUGGGUAAAGAGUUGUCAAUGGGCAACGGCUUAUCAAUGGGCAACGCGUUAUCAAUGGGAAAGGAAUUCCCCAUUGAGAAGGAAUUUUCAAUGGGGAAGGGGUCCUCGGUGAGCAAGAAGUUCUCGGCGGGUAACGGGUUAUCAAUGGGAAAGGAGUUCUCCAUCGAUAAGGAAUUCUCAAUGGGGAAGGGAAAGGAAUUCCCACGGGGCAACGCCUUAUCAAUGGGGAAAGGCUUCCCUAUGGACAAUGAGAUCCCGAUGGACAACUGGGCCCCGAUGGACAAUGAGGUGUUUGUGGGGAAGAAGAUCCCAACCGGGAAGAAGAUCCUUGCGGGGAAGAAGAUCCCACCGGACGCCACCAGAUUCCCCACGGCCAGCCAGCUCCCCACGGAUGAGGGCCCCAUGGCCAAUCAGAUCCCCGGGGACGACGACCUGGUGCCCAUCCGUGGCCGCGUCCCCCACCCGCCACGCCUGGACCCCUCGCUGUCUCUCAGCAUCCCCCCCCCCGACGACGACCCGACAUCCAAGUCCGCCCCGCUCCCGCUGGCCGAGGCUCUGGCGGCGGCGCUGCCAGCGGCUCCCGACGACGCCGGCGACGCCGGUUUGGAUCCCGGCACCAUCGACCAGCUGAUCGAGCUGUCGAGCCGCCUGCACCUCCCGGCAGACGACGUGGUGGACAUCAUCCAUGACGUGGAACAGAAGCGGCAGGAGGAGGCGGCGGCGGCGGCGGCGUUGCCCGGUGAUGACGUCAUCGGUGAUGAUGACGUCACCGACGAUGAGGAGGAGGAGGAGGAGGAGGAAGAGGGAGGGGAUGAAGCUCUGCCCCCGCCGCCCCUCCCCGCCCCCCGGCCCAGGACGUUCCGGACCCCGGCGAUGCAGUGGGAGGGGAGGAGGUGGUGA